rnacentral:rRNA from 1 species
GACGAACGCUGGCGGCGUGCUUAACACAUGCAAGUCGAACGAAGUGGCGAACGGGUGAGUAACGCGUAAUCAACCUGCCCUUCAGAGGGGGACAACAGUUGGAAACGACUGCUAAUACCGUAUACUGAAGGAUGGGAUUGCGUCUGUUUAGCUAGUUGGAGGGGUAACGGCCCACCAAGGCGAUGAUAAGUAGCCGGUCUGAGAGGAUGAACGGCCACAUUGGGACUGAGACACGUCCCAGACUCCUACGGGAGGCAGCAGUGGGGAAUCUUCCGCAAUGGACGAAAGUCUGACGGAGCAACGCCGCGUGAGUGAUGACGGCCUUCGGGUUGUAAAGCUCUGUUAAUCGGGACGCGGUACCGGAAUAGAAAGCCACGGCUAACUACGUGCCAGCAGCCGCGGUAAUAC